GUGCCAGCCGCCGCGGUAAUACGUAGGUGGCAAGCGUUGUCCGGAUUUAUUGGGCGUAUAGCGAGCGCAGGCGGUUUCUUAAGUCUGAUGUGAAAGCCUUCGGCUCAACCGAAGAAGUGCAUCGGAAACUGGGAAACUUGAGUGCAGAAGAGGACAGUGGAACUCCAUGUGUAGCGGUGAAAUGCGUAGAUAUAUGGAAGAACACCAGUGGCGAAGGCGGCUGUCUGGUCUGUAACUGACGCUGAGGCUCGAAAGCAUGGGUAGCAAACAGGAUUAGAUACCCUGGUAGUCCAUGCCGUAAACGAUGAGUGCUAGGUGUUGGAGGGUUUCCGCCCUUCAGUGCCGCAGCUAACGCAUUAAGCACUCCGCCUGGGGAGUACGACCGCAAGGUUGAAACUCAAAGGAAUUGACGGGGGCCCGCACAAGCGGUGGAGCAUGUGGCUUAAUUCGAAGCAACGCGAAGAACCUUACCAGGUCUUGACAUCCUUUGACCACUCUAGAGAUAGAGCUUUCCCUUCGGGGACAAAGUGACAGGUGGUGCAUGGUUGUCGUCAGCUCGUGUCGUGAGAUGUUGGGUUAAGUCCCGCAACGAGCGCAACCCUUAUUACUAGUUGCCAGCAUUUAGUUGGGCACUCUAGUGAGACUGCCGGUGACAAACCGGAGGAAGGUGGGGACGACGUCAAAUCAUCAUGCCCCUUAUGACCUGGGCUACACACGUGCUACAAUGGAUGGUACAACGAGUUGCGAGACCGCGAGGUUUAGCUAAUCUCUUAAAACCAUUCUCAGUUCGGAUUGUAGGCUGCAACUCGCCUACAUGAAGCCGGAAUCGCUAGUAAUCGCGGAUCAGCAUGCCGCGGUGAAUACGUUCCCGGGCCUUGUACACACCGCCCGU
rnacentral:rRNA from 1 species